rnacentral:rRNA from 1 species
GACGAACGCUGGCGGCGUGCUUAACACAUGCAAGUCGAACGGUAAGGCCCUUCGGGGUACACGAGUGGCGAACGGGCGAGUAACACGUGGGUGAUCUGCCCUGCACUUCGGGAUAAGCCUGGGAAACUGGGUCUAAUACCGGAUAGGACCACUGCCUGCAUGGGUGGUGGUGGAAAGCUUUUGCGGUGUGGGAUGGGCCCGCGGCCUAUCAGCUUGGUGGUGGGGUGAUGGCCUACCAAGGCGACGACGGGUAGCCGGCCUGAGGGGGUGACCGGCCACACUGGGACUGAGAUACGGCCCAGACUCCUACGGGAGGCAGCAGUGGGGAAUAUUGCACAAUGGGCGCAAGCCUGAUGCAGCGACGCCGCGUGAGGGAUGACGGCCUUCGGGUUGUAAACCUCUUUCAGCACCGACGAAGCGCAAGUGACGGUAGGUGCAGAAGAAGGACCGGCCAACUACGUGCCAGCCGCCGCCGUAA